GGGAGAAUAGCGAAGUGGCCAAACGCGGCUGACUGUAAAUCAGUUCCUUAGGGUUCGAUGGUUCAAAUCCACCUUCUCCCACCA
rnacentral:tRNA from 1 species